GAUGAACGCUGGCGGCGUGCCUAAUACAUGCAAGUCGAGCGAACAGACGAGGAGCUUGCUCCUCUGACGUUAGCGGCGGACGGGUGAAUAACACGUGGAUAACCUACCUAUAAGACUGGGAUAACUUCGGGAAACCGGAGCUAAUACCGGAUAAUAUAUUGAACCGCAUGGUUCAAUAGUGAAAGACGGUUUUGCUGUCACUUAUAGAUGGAUCCGCGCCGCAUUAGCUAGUUGGUAAGGUAACGGCUUACCAAGGCAACGAUGCGUAGCCGACCUGAGAGGGUGAUCGGCCACACUGGAACUGAGACACGGUCCAGACUCCUACGGGAGGCAGCAGUAGGGACUCUUCCGCAAUGGGCGAAAGCUUGACGGAGCAACGCCGCGUGAGUGAUGAAGGUCUUCGGAUCGUAAAACUCUGUUAUUAGGGAAGAACAAAUGUGUAAGUAACUAUGCACGUCUUGACGGUACCUAAUCAGAAAGCCACGGCUAACUACGUG
rnacentral:rRNA from 1 species